rnacentral:lncRNA from 1 species
CUCUCUGAAGGCAAGACUCCCAGCCGCUGCCGGAUGGGGCGACCGGCGGAUCCGGGUCGGGCCCCGCCCCGGUUGCCAUGGGGACGGAGAUGUCUAGGAGGCAGAUGCAGCUGCUUUGGAAAACAGACUGGCAUUUCCUCAAAGGGUUAAAUAAAUGUGGAAUCACCAUGCAAUUCAGCAGUUCACUCCUAGGAAUAUACUCCAGACAACUGAAAACAGGUGUUCAAACAAAAGCGUGUACACAAGCGUCGGUAGCAGCGUGAUUCAUAAUAGCCAAAAAGUGAAAACAACUCAAACGUCUGCUAAUGAUGCAUGGAUCGAUGACGGGAUAUAUCCUUACAACAGAAUAUUAUCCGCCAUGGGCCGGGCGCAGUGGCUCACGCCUGUAAUCCCAGCACUUUGGGAGGCAGGCGGAUCACUUGAGGUCAGGAGUUCGAGACCAGCCUGGCCAACAUGGUGAAACUCCAGUUCUAUUAAAAAUACAAAAACUAGCCAGGCGUGGUGGUGCACGCCUGUAAUCCCAGCUACAUGGGAGGCUGAGGCAGGAGGAUCCCAUGAACUGGGAGGCAGAGGUUGCAGUGAGCCAAGAUUGUGCCACUGCACUCCAGCCUGGGCAACAGAGCAAGACUACGUCUCAAAAAAAAAAAAAAAGAAUAUUAUCAGCCAUAAAAAAAAGGAGCGAGUCUCUGACACAAGUCACAGCAUGGAUGUACCUAGAAGACAUCACACUCAGUGAGAGACGCCAGACACAAAGGUCACACAGUGUGUGAUCAGAAUGUUCAGGAAAGGCCCAUCCACAGAGACAGGAGGGGGACGUGUGGGUGCCAGUGGGUGGGGAAUGACCACUGAGAGGGAUGCGGUUUUCAUUUGGGUGAUGAAAGUAUUUUACAAUUUGAUUUCAGUGAUGGCUGCGUGACUCUGGAAAUAUAUUACAAACCAUGGAAUUGUAUGCUCUAAAUGGGUGCAUUAUAUGUGAGUUAAGUCUCAAUAAGCCCAUUGUCCUAAGAUGCAGCCCGGGGCUGAGGAAGAGGAGCUGGCCCUGGAAUCUGGACGGUUCCACACGCCAGACCUGGCUCUGUUGCUUAAUCAGCUCUCUGACCUCCCAGGCCUCCCCUGUGUCUCUCUGCUCACUUAAAAAUAGUCUAGGUGAGGCUGGGUGUGGAGCCACCCCUCCCGGCCAUAGUCAAUAACAAUUUAAUUGAACAUUUAUUUUAUUUUGUUUAUUUAUUUUAUUUUAUUUUAUUUUAUUUUUUUGAGAUGGAGUCUUGCUCUGCCGCCCAGGCUGGAGUGCAGUGGCACCAUCUCGGCUCACUGCAACCUCUGCUUCCCGGGUUCAAACGAUUCUCCUGCCUCAGCCUCCCAAGUAGCUAGGAUUACAGACAUCCGCCACCACGCUCGGCUAAUUUUUUUUUUUUUUUUUUUUUUAGUAGAGACAGGGUUUCACCAUGUUGGCUAGGCUGGUCUUGAACUCCUGACCUCAGGUGGCCGCCCGUCUCGGCCUCCCAAGGUGCUAGAUUGCAGGGGUGGGCCACUGCGCCCGGCCUUUUUGUUUGUUUUUUGUCAUUUAUUACUAUGAUUUAUUUGCCAGUUUUUAUAGCAUGAAGCCAGGAACAGUAUACCAAUUUAUAAUCCUAGAGGUGGAAGCUCUCCAUUAAGGAUGACUUGCCUUAUAAUUCUUUGGUUUUCUAAUUAAUUUUUAUUAUGCAAAUCAUGUUCACAUCCAUUUCACUUGUACAGAAUUAAGGAAGUGCAGCUCAGACCUCUUUAAUUUCAUUACAUUUCCUAUCGUCAGCUUAUUGCUUUUUUUUUUUUUUUUUUUUUUUUUUUGAGACAGAGUCUCGCUCUGUCGUCCAGGCUAGUGUGCAGUGGCGCGAUCUCGGCUCACUGCAAGCUUCACCUCCCGGGUUUACACCAUUCUCCUGCCUCAGCCUCCCAAGUAGCUGGGACUACAGGUACACGCUGCCACGCCCGGCUAAUUUUUUUGUAUUUUUUAGUAGAGAUGGGGUUUCACCGUGUUAGCCAGGAUGGUCUCGAUCUCCUGACAUUGUGAUCCACCCGCCUUGGCCUCCCAAAGUGCUGGGAUUACAGUCGUGAGCCACUGUGCCAGGCCUUUUUUUUUUCUUUUUUUUUUUUUUGAGAUAGAGUUUCAUUCGCCCAGGCUGGAGUGCAGUGGCGUGAUCUUUGCUCACUGCAACCUCCGCCUCCCAGGUUCAAGUGAUUCUCCUGCCUCAGCCUCCUGAGUAGCCGGGAUUACAGGCACGUGCCACCAAACCCAGCUAAUGUUUGUAUUUUUAGUAGAGACGGGGUUUUGCCAUGUUGGCCAGGCAGGUCUUGAACUCCUGACCUCAGAUGAUCCGCCCACCUUGGCCUCCCAAAGUGCUGAGAUUACAGGCGUGAGCCACUGUACCCGGCCGCAUCUCUUUUUAAAAUUUUUCCUAGCCACACUCACACACACACACACACACACACACACACACACGCACACCACACUGCAUUGGUUUGCUAGGUAAUAAUUACGACAAACUGAGGGGCUUAAACAAGAGAAAUUUAUUGUUUCACAGUUCUGGAGGCCAGAAGUCCAAGAGGAAGGUGUGGGUAGGGCUGGGGCCUUCUGAGGGCGGGGAGAGAAUCUGUCCCUGGCGUCUCCCAGUUUCUGGCAUUGGCCAGCAAUCCUGGGCUUUUCUUGUCUUGUAGGAGUGACACCCCGAUGUCUGCCUGCAUCUUCAUGUGGGGUUCUCCCUAUGUGCGUGUCUGCACCCAAAUUUCCUCUUUUGAUAAGGACAGCAGUCAUACUGCGUCACGGCCCACCCUAAUGAUGUCAUCUUAACUCAUUAUAUCUGCAAUGACCUUUUUCCAAAUACGGUCACAUUCUGAGGCCUUGGGGAUUAGGACAGGAACCUGUGCAUUCUGUGGGGACAUGACUCCACCCACAGCACAUGCCUACACACGUACACAUGUGCGUAUUCCUAAUAAAGACGUGGGCUGGGCGCGGUGGCUCACGCCUGUAAUGCCAGCACUGUGGGAGGCCGAGGUGGGUGGAUCGCUGGAGGUCAGGAAUUUGACACCAGCCUGGCCAACAUGGAGAAACCCUGUCCCUACUAAAAACACAAAAAUUGCCAGGCACGGUGGCUCACACCUGUAAUCCCAGCACUUUGGGAGGCUGAGGUGGGAGGAUCACGAGGUCCACAGUUCGAGACCAGCCUGGUCAACAUGGUGAAACCCCAUCUCUACUAAAAAUACAAAAAUUAGCCGGGCGUGGUGGCGGGCACCUGUAAUCCCAGCUACUUGGGAGGCUGAGGUAGGAGAAUAGCUUGAACACGGGAGGCAAAGGUUGCAGUGAGCGGAGAUCCCGCCACGGCACUCCAGCCUGGGACAGAGCGAGACUCCGUCUCAAAAAAAAAAAAAAAAUUUUUUUAACGUGAAUAUAUAUUUUUUAUUUAGUCAUUUUUGCUUACAGUUGAAACUCUAGAGAAUCUGCGUGAAACUAGAUGGCAGCCGGCUCAUAAAGGUUCAUUUGGACAAGGCACAGCAGAACAAUAUGGAACACAAGGUUGAAACUUUUUCUGGUGUCUAUAAGAAGCUCAUGGGCAAGGAUGUUAAUUUUGAAUUCCCAGAGUUUCAAUUGUAAGCAAAAAUGACCAAAUAAAAAAUGUGUAUUCACAGUUAAAAAAAAAAUUCUACAAAAAAGUAAAACCACAAAAAUUAGCUGGGCAUGGGGGUGCACGCCUGUAGUCCCAGCUACUCAGAAGGCUGAGGCAGGAGAAUCACUUGAACCUAGAGGCGGAGGUUGCAGUGAGCUGAGAUCGUGCCACUGCACUCCAGCCUGGGUGACAGAGCGAGACUCCCUCUCAAAAAAUAGUAAAUAAAUAAAUAAAAAUAUAGGCUGGGCGUGGUGGCUCCCGCCUGUAAUCUCAGCACUUUGAGAAGCCAAAGUGGGCCGAUCACCUGAGGUCAGGAUUUCAAGAACAGCCUGGCCAACAUGGCAAAACCCUGUCUGUACUAAAAAUACAAAAAGUAGCCACGCAUGGUGGUGCACACCUGUAGCUCCAGCUACUCAGGAAGCUGCGGCACAAGAAUUGCUUGAACCUGGGAGGCAGAGGUUUCAGUGAGUCAAGAUCGAGCCACUACACUCCAGCCUGGGCGACAUGGCGAGACUUUGUCUCAAAAAAAUAAAUAAAUAAAUAAAGUGAGGUCCUGGCCAGGUGCAGUAGCUCACACCUGUAAUCCCAGCACUAUGGGAGGCUGAGGCAGGAGGAUUGCUUGAACCCAGGAAUUUGAGGCCAGCCUGGACAACAUAGUGAGACCCUGUCUCUACAAAAAAAAAUAAUAAUAAAAGUAAGCAAACAAAUGUGAGGUCCUAUUCUGCUGUGUAUUAUACCAGUGCCUUCAUGCUGUAAGCUUCAACUGCAACCAGUUCUGUUUACUCAAUAAUAUCGCUCAGAUAAAGGGUAUUUUUUACUAUUAUUAUUUUUUGAGACAUGGUGUCUCGCUGUGUCACCCAGGCUGGAGUGUAGUCAUCGGAUCUCAGCUCACUGCAACCUCGAACUCCUGGGCUCAAGUGAUUCUCCUGCUUCAGCCUCUCGAGCAGUUGGGACCACAGGUAUGCACCACCACAUCUGGCUGAUUAUUUUAAUUUUCGUACAGAUGGGGUCUUGCUUUGUUGCCCAGCUCCCAGGCUAGAGUGCAGUGGCUCAGUCUCAGCUCCCUGCAACCUCCACCUCCCUGCAACCUCCACCUCCCGUGUUCAAGUGAUUCACGUGCCUCAGCCUUCAGAGUAGCCAGGGUUACAGGCACACAUCGCCAUGCGAGACUAAUUUUUGUACUUUUAGUGGAGAUGAGGUUUUGCCAUGUUGGCCAGGCUGGUCUCAAACUCCUGGCCUCGUGAUCCUCCUGCCUCAGCCUCCCACAGUACCACAGUACCACAGUACUGGGAUUACAUGCCCCCAUUAAUUUUUUUUUUUUUUUUUUGAGAUGGAGUCUCUCUCUGUCGCCCAGGCUGGAGUGCAGUGGCGCCAUCUCUGCUCACUGCAAGCUCCGUCUCCCGGGUUCAUGCCAUUCUCCUGCCUCAGCCUCCCGGGUAGCUGGGACUACAGGCGCCCGCCACCACACCCGGCUAAGUUUUUGUAUUUUUAGUAGAGACGGGGUUUCACUGUGUUAGCCAGGAUGGUCUCAAUCUCCUGACCUCGCGAUCCGCCCGCCUCGGCCUCCCAAAGUGCUGGGAUUACAGGCAUGAGCCACCGCGCCUGACCUUAAAUUUUUAAUAGAUAUUAAUCAACAUGGAUGUGUGGACUUUUCUCCACCACCCAGGGAGAGUCAGGGUGUGGUUGGUUCUCCCAGGCCACGGACAAUCUCAAGCCUCCUGGGGCUUUUUAUAGAGGCAACUUCAUACAGGCAUUGCUUAAACAGAUGCUGGAGAGCUGAGAAGGCGACAGGGAAGCGGAAAGAGAGCUACUGCCCCUAGCAUCCCCUGGCCCCGGGGCUGGCAGAACACAGGGCUGGUGGGACAGGGAUCUCAGGCCUCUGAGGAGGGGCACCCCACUGCUGCUGGGCCCUCAGGAACUCAGGGAAGCAAUCUGAGCCUCAACUGUGGGACUUGGGCAAUUUACUCAACUUCUGUGCCUCAGUUUCUCCAUCUGUUAAGUGGGAUAAUUGCUUUGUCUACCUUUAUGACGUUGCUGGCUGGGAUUGUCCAGGGAGAAUCAAACACCUGUUACAGAAAACGCUCUAGCUCAGUGGUUCUCAUCCGGGGCCAACUCUGUCACGCCAGGAAAUACCUAGUAAUGUCUAGAGAGAUUUUUCAUUGUCGGACUAGGGGGGUGCUACUGGCAUCUACACGGUUGAGGCCAGAGAUCCUACACGGCCCCCACCACAAAAAAUGAUGUCCCAAACGUCAGGAGUACCGAGGUUGGUCAGGCACAGUGGCUUACGCCUGGAAUCCCAGCACUUCGGGAGGCCGAGGCGGGCGGAUCACCUGAGGUCAGGGGUUCGAGACCAGCCUGGCCAACAUGGCGAAACCCCAUCUCCACUAAAAAGACAAAAAACUUAGCCGGAUGUGGUGGCACACGCCUAUACUCCCAGCUACUCGGGAGGCUGAGGCAGGAGAACUGCUUGAACCCAGGAGGCGGAGGUUGCAGUGAGCUGAGAUCGCACCGGUGCACUCCUGCCUGGGCGACAGAGCGACUCUCCGUCUCAAAACACAACACAACAACAAAAAGCUCCGAGUUCCAGGCCCUGCCGUGCCAGGAGGUCACCGCGCUUCGUUACAGCUCCUCCCCGUUUUGCUCUCAGCGCAAGGACUGACCAGCAUCAACGUUAAAACGUAAAUCACAAGACUCACAGAAUGCGCUCCUUCUGGCAAUGGUAGACCAGAUACUGAACAGGACCUGAGGCCAGGAGGGUCCUGGCAAAGACUGAGUCACGCAAAGACUGACUGAAGAGGCCGGGCGCAGUGACUCACGCCUGUCAUCCCAGCACUUUGGGAGCCCGAGGCGGGCAGAUCAUGAGGUCAGGAGUUAGAGAGCAGCCUGACCAACGUGGAGAAACCCCCGUCU